rnacentral:rRNA from 1 species
UACGUAGGGUGCAAGCGUUAAUCGGAAUUACUGGGCGUAAAGCGUGCGCAGGCGGUUGUGCAAGACAGUUGUGAAUCCCCGGGCUCAACCUGGGAACUGCAUCUGUGACUGCAUCGCUGGAGUGCGGGCAGAGGGGGGAUGGAAUUCCGCGUGUAGCAGUGAAAUGCGUAGAUAUGCGGAGGAACACCGAUGGCGAAGGCAAUCCCCUGG